GACGUAGGGCGCGAGCGUUGUCCGGAUUUAUUGGGCGUAAAGAGCUCGUAGGCGGCUUGUCGCGUCGACCGUGAAAACUCGCAGCUCAACUGCGAGCCUGCGGUCGAUACGGGCAGGCUAGAGUUCGGUAGGGGAGACUGGAAUUCCUGGUGUAGCGGUGAAAUGCGCAGAUAUCAGGAGGAACACCGGUGGCGAAGGCGGGUCUCUGGGCCGUAACUGACGCUGAGGAGCGAAAGCAUGGGGAGCGAACAGG
rnacentral:rRNA from 1 species